GUACAAAGACUCUGCAAAUGUCCCCUUGCCUACUUAUCCAGCCCCAAACAUGUCACCCACUCAGUGUCUCAAAACUAACCCAGGCUGUCCUGCUUAUGAGCUUGCCAAGCCACAGGACCCAUCUCAGAUGGGGCCAGUCGGAGAGGCUAUCCCAGACUCUUCCAGACUGCGCUCAUUGUUCCAACCUCUGUACACCUUUAGCUCACACCUGAAUGCAGGGUCUACCAUACUGGAUUUUGCAAGAAAUGUGGUAUAAAAGAGACAGCAUGGCCAAGGCAAGGCAAGCCUAGCUCUGCCACUUAUGAGCAGUAUGAUCUUAGAAAGGUCCAGAACCUCUCUGGGUUUCCAUGCUCUCACUGGUAAAAGGUGGUUGCUAACAGCACCUACGUCAUAGGGCCAUUGUUAGGAUUAGGGAGGUAGUGUGGCAGGUGGCUAACAUUAACUGACCAUGCAGCACAGAUUUGCAUGAUUCUUCCUGCUAGACCAUGAGCUUAUUACAGAACCUGACACAGUUGGGCUCCAUAAACCUUUAUUAAGCAAAUGAAUACAGGAAUGAGUCAGCUACUCCAGGCAUUCCAUCUUUAAACUAGAGGCUAUAAAUGCAAAUCACUGCUGGCACCAGACUAGUGAGAGAGCAAAACGGGACCAGCCAGGACAGCAGUCAACGGUGGAACGUGUGCUUCCAAAACAGGGACGCUGAGGAGCCCACUGUUGCCAUCCUAAAAUGUAGGCUCCAGGUAGCUAUGCCUGAUACAGUCUCAAGAAACUUGUAAAUGCUGAAAAAAAACUUAAAAAGGAAAGAGAAGACAGUACAAUGUGUUGCCAGAAGAGAUUCAUAUUUGAGUCAGCGGACUGGGAGAGGCAGACCCAACCACAAUGUGGGUGGACACCAUCCCAUCAGCUGCCAGCGUAACUAGAAAAAGCCGGCAGAAGAAGGUGAAAGAAGCGGACUUGCUGAGUUUUCCUGCCUUCGUCUUCCUCCUAUGCUGCCCUCGAACAUCAGGCCUCAACUUCUUUGGCUUUUGGAGUCUUGGACUUACACCAGUGGUUUCCCAGGGGCUCUCGGGCCUUUGGCCACAGACUAAAGGCUACACUGCCGAGCUUUCCUACUUUUCAGGUUUUGGAACUCUAACUGAGCCACUACUGUCUUCCUUGCUCCUCAACUUACAGACGGCCCAUCUGGGUCUUCACCCUGUGAUCAUAUUUUCUCCCUUCUCUGAAAGAAGG
rnacentral:lncRNA from 1 species